rnacentral:rRNA from 1 species
UACGUAGGGUGCAAGCGUUAAUCGGAAUUACUGGGCGUAAAGCGUGCGCAGGCGGUUUUGUAAGUCUGUCGUGAAAUCCCCGGGCUCAACCUGGGAAUUGCGAUGGAGACUGCAAGGCUAGAAUCUGGCAGAGGGGGGUAGAAUUCCACGUGUAGCAGUGAAAUGCGUAGAGAUGUGGAGGAACACCGAUGGCGAAGGCAGCCCCCUGGGUUAACACUGACGCUCAUGCACGAAAGGCGUGGGGAGCAAAAGGG